UACGUAGGGGGCAAGCGUUGUCCGGAAUCAUUGGGCGUAAAGAGCGUGUAGGCGGCCCGAUAAGUCCGCUGUGAAAGUCCAGGGCUCAACCCUGGAAUGCCGGUGGAUACUGUCGGACUAGAGUUCGGAAGAGGCGAGUGGAAUUCCCGGUGUAGCGGUGAAAUGCGCAGAUAUCGGGAGGAACACCUAUGGCGAAGGCAGCUCGCUGGGACGUUACUGACGCUGAGACGCGAAAGCGUGGGGAGCAAACAGG
rnacentral:rRNA from 1 species